rnacentral:rRNA from 1 species
UGCGUAGGCGGCCCGGGAAGUUGGGUGUGAAAUCCCUCAGCUUAACUGAGGAAUUGCAUUCAAAACUGCCGGGCUUGAGGGAGACAGAGGUGAGCGGAACUUAGGGUGGAGCGGUGAAAUGCGUUGAUAUCCUAAGGAACACCGGGGGCGAAAGCGGCUCACUGGGUCUUUUCUGACGCUGAGGCACGAAAGCUAGGGGAGCGAACGGGAUUAGAUACCCCGGUAGUCCUAGCCCUAAACGAUGAGCACUGGAUCGGAGAACAUCCCAUAGUUUUCUGGUCGUAGCAAAAGCGUUAAGUGCUCCGCCUGGGGAGUAUGGUCGCAAGGCUAGAA